AGUGAACGCUGGCGGUAGGCCUAACACAUGCGAGUCGAACGGCAGCACAGUAAGAGCUUGCUCCUACGGGUGGCGAGUGGCGGACGGGUGAGGAAUACAUCGGAAUCUACUUUUUCGUGGGGGAUAACGUAGGGACACUUACGCUACUACCGCAUACGACCUACGGGUGAAAGCAGUGGAUCUUCGGAGCUUUCGCGACUGAAUGAGCCGAUGUCGGAUUAGCUAGUUGGCGGGGUAAAGGCCCACCAAGGCAACGAUGCGUAGCUGGUCUGAGAGGAUGAUCAGCCACACUGGAACUGAGACACGGUCCAGACUCCUACGGGAGGCAGCAGUGGGGAAUAUUGGACAAUGGGCGCAAGCCUGAUCCAGCCAUGCCGCGUGGGUGAAGAAGGUCUUCGGGUUGUAAAGCCCUUUUAUUGGGAAAGAAAAGCAGCAGGUGUAUACCCCGCUGCUCUGACGGUACCUAAAGAAUAAGCACCGGCUAACUUCGUG
rnacentral:rRNA from 1 species